AGCGUGGACACAAAGUUCUCUCGCAUGCCGGUUUUCUUUUUCGAGACAAUAGGUGAAAUGAGGGCCAGCAGUCUAAAACCAGAAUUUAGACGUUCACACCAUUGGUGUUGCAUUAUAAUACACCCAAUCACUGUGUUUGUUGUAUAAACACACACCUGAGCACAGGAUUUCCAAGAAUUUUUCUUCCCCUGAUUGUCUCCAUGUGAGUGAAAAACAGCACAGAUGGAAGUCGAUGGAAGUCAUUGCACACAAGGCAGAGGAUGACACGCUAACUUGCCUCGGCUUGUUGGAUGUACAAACAGAGACUCUUCUGCCUCGACAAGGUGCCAAUUUAGUUUAUAGUUUGCUUCAGCCUCUAAAUUACAGAAACACACACACACACACACCCUCAUGUGCAUAAGUACACCCCCCCUCCGCUCCUCGUACUCCUCCUGCAUGCACUCAUGCAGACGCGGUGUCAAGAAGUCAAGUGCCAGAUGUACAAUAGAGCGCAACAGCAAUGGGCUCAGCAUGCGGAGAGAAAGUGAUAGUGGUGGGACGGUGCUUUAGUCUUUGCUGCAAACGUAGGAGGGAUUUUAUUAGCGAGCUUUGGAAAGAGUUGUAAAAGAAGUUGUGAAAGUGCAGCUCACUCUCCAUGUGAACCUCUUUGAGGCUAAUGAAACAUGGCAAACUCACAAAGGGUGCAAGUGAUCGGCAGAUAUCUCGUAAACCUUCCAGGUUAACCCAGAAUAGCAGUGCAGGUCUGUGGCUUUGGUAUGUGCUUGUGUCCAGCAGUCGCCCCUUCCCCACAGCACACAGAGUGUACGGUAGUUUGUGCUAAAAAUAUUUCAGGGCCACCAGGACGGAUGCCUCUCCUUUCAUCUAUUUUGGUAACCCAGCAGUGUGUAUUUUCACAAUGAGGUUUAUGUUUGAAAUCUUUUAACAUUUUGAACAUUCUAUAUGCAACAUGGAAUACAUUUGUUUUCACUCAACAGCUUCUGUGCCACGAAUAGUUUGAAUUCGUCAUCAGACCCUCAUCCAUACGAACAAUCUAGUCUCCAGCUGUAGAACUCAGUCUCUCUGGGGUCAGUGGUGUGUCAGCAGGUUGGAGGAGGACUGUAGAGCGUGCUGCCAUGUGUCAUAUAUGCUAAGGCCCCGCGGCCCUCUCGACACCUGUUUACGCCCCAGGGGGACCCGACCGGCCAGGACAGCUGGUUUGUUUUGGAGAGGUGCGGAGCGAGGCAGGGCGGAUGUAGUGGUGCGGGGCUGGGGGAAGGGAUUACAUAUGUGCUGUAGUGGAUUGGCGGGGUGGGUGGGUUGGUGUUUGGGUGGCAGGACGGAGUUUAAGGGGGAUUCUAGUGGUGGGAGGGUGCAGCAGUGAGAAGAAUUACAGAGCACAAAAGGCACGUCAGCAGUGCUGAAUGGACAGUGACCAUGCACGAUCCGGUGGAUGAUAAUGACAUUGUGCCGGCCUGAACCUCAGGGGACUCAACCCUGUGUGUGCGUGUGUGUGGGUGUGUGUGUGAGUGUCAUGUCAGCUGGUGUCCCAGUGGAAAAGAAGCAUUCCAAAGAACAAAAUCUCUGGGUCUUUGGAGGACACUGAUAAGAAAGUAGAGGGCUGGUGUUUGACAAAUUUGUUAAAAAAAAAAUCAUGAAGAAAAUCAAAGUUUUUCAAUAUAAAGUUUACUAGAACUGUCAAAAACUAUCCAGACAAUAAAAUCUUUAAAAAACAGGCACAGCAUUUGGCACUGAUUUAAUAUUUGCAAAAAUAAGUAAACAUUUUAAAUUGACACAAAUACAAUUUCUAACAUGGUCCAAAUGUUACACAGGUCUAAAUUCAAAUUAUAAAAUUGGCUGACACCUGCAUUUGUGUUAGAGCUGCUUAACAUAAUGUGAAUUUAUCACUUAUUACUGGGUCCAACAGAUUAAACCGAAUAAAGCGAUUAUCCAACACUGGAUAAUCGAUUUAACAGAACUGGUUUUAUAAAGUUUAACAUAUUUGUGACACUUAUAAACAUUUUAUUGAAAAAAACCCCAAAUUUGACUGACAGGUUUGAUGCCAGCUUGAGUACAAACCUUGCUUUUUACUCAAGCUAGAGUCUAAAAUUCAAGCUGUGCCAGUUCCUAACUUGUCAGAUUGCUGUGGAUGUAAUUAUGUGCAUACUUUUGUCUAUGUGUAUUUUAACUCCUGCUUCUGUCAACAUGUAAAAGUGUUUUCACAGAGCUGCUUAAAAAACAGGACGCAGUGUUUUCUUGCUCAGACAGCCAUCAAUCGCUCAACAGCUUGUGAAAGCUCCUCCAGCAAUGUUGGAGUACACAGUGUACUACAGGCUCAACAUCAUAACCAUUCUUCACACACACACUAUCACACACCCCCACACUCCUGCACACCCAGCCCCUCCUCUUUCACUAUGAGUCUGUACAGUUUUUCUUCCUUUAUCGAUCUUUUAAAUUUGUUUGCAUCCCUUUUCCACACACAUUUUCCCCAAAUUUCCACUCACUCCUGCUAAAGAGUCAGCGAUAAUCCACUUGAGCGGAGGAAACUGCUCUUGGUCCAAGUCGUCAGCGACAACCCUUUUGAAACUUCAAGCCGUUGCACAACUCUUUUCGCUAUGAAUAACAGGAAGACAGCAAUUUUUCUUCUGAGUUUAAUUGCCCGUCACCCAGCUAGAUCAACAGAGGCAACCUGCACAAGAGCAAGGCACAUGAAUGGGAACUCUGCUAAAAAAAUUACACAGCGUCCUGCACGUGUUCAAAAAUCCUCGUCUCUGUUUCUUAAUCCUCUAUAGCGCUUCUGUCCUGCUUCACAAGAGCCAAGGGGGAAACCCAGGAGGAGAUGGAUAAAGCACAACACAUGCAGCAGGACCUGAAUCACAGCCGGCGCACAGAAAACCUGUGCAUGCUCUUCUAAGAGAUGUUACUGAAAGGCUUGCACAGCUCAGAUUGUGAGGACAUCCUGCCGUGAACAACAAAAACCCUUCCAUAUUUGCCAAUGUCAACGCCGAAGGAGCUGCAGCGAUUUCAAACAAGUACUGGUUGUGGUUUACAGGUGAAAACUGUUUUAUCCUCAUGUCUGGACAAAGAAGCUGUGUAAGAAAACAACACCAAAAUAACACUGUGGAGUGCAAUGUGCAAUGACAGCAUCAUACUCUCUUUCUUCUGAAGGGACUGGUAUUUUUUGUUUUGUUUUGUUUUUAUCAGAGUGAAUGAAAUCAUGAGGAAAUGUCUGUUCAACCUUGCAGAUUUGGAGAACUGCUAGUGAGCAAAAAAAAAAAGUCAAGUCAGGCCGUGGGACAGAUUUCUAAAAUUCAAUCAAAAAGUGACUUAGCAGAGCAUUAGUUUAAGGCUGUGCACAAUUUGCAAAUGAGGUUUUGCACUUUUAAUUUUACUCCUCAGAGAUGCAUUUGUUUUACAGUGGAGAGGUUAUAGCCUUAACUUUUGUUUAUUUUUAUUCUGUUGUAUGUUGUUUUUAACUUCUUUGUACAAGCACUUUGAAUUGUCUUUGGCUGAAAGGUGCUAUAUAAAUAAAGUUGCCUUGCCUUGCCUUAACUAUCACCUCGAAAAUGCUUAUCCAGAAACAUUUUAAAGAUAAAUGUCACACUUAAGAUGGAAAACAUAAUAAAUGACUAGUCAUGAUG